CAGCCACCUCCGUUUGUGAAGGGUGAGCUCACAGCGAUGCCACGCGGCUGAAGUUUCUAUUAAGUCACGAGGGCACUUAUCAGGAGGAAAGGUAGCGGCAGGUCUGUUAGUUAAUGGGCACGGGACCCCGGGUGGUCAAAAGGGGACCACGGUGUGAGCUGCUGCACGCUGCGAUAUCCUGCAGAUGCCUCCAAAAUGACAGCUGGCGGGGCGAAUGGUCCGGCGUGCAAACAUUCAAGGUGUCCAACUACCUCGAUGCGAAUGAAACAAAACUCGCCUGGAGAAGACGGGAAUCCAUGAACGAGUCAUUCUACUCUCGG
ensembl:lncRNA